GACGAACGCUGGCGGCGUGCUUAACACAUGCAAGUCGAACGAUGAAGAAGAGACACGCGAACUUCGGUUCAACUUUCACUUCGGAUUAGUGGCAGACGGGUGAGUAACGCGUGAGCAACCUACCUCUUACAAAGGGAUAGCCUCGGGAAACCGUGAUUAAUACCAUAUGACACAUUCAUAAGGCAUCUUAAGAAUGUUAAAGCUACGGCGGUAAGCGAUGGGCUCGCGUCCCAUUAGCUAGUUGGUGAGGUAACGGCCCACCAAGGCGACGAUGGGUAACCGGCCUGAGAGGGUGAACGGUCACAUUGGAACUGAGACACGGUCCAAACUCCUACGGGAGGCAGCAGUGGGGAAUAUUGCACAAUGGAGGGAACUCUGAUGCAGCGACGCCGCGUGAGCGAUGAAGGAAUUCGUGUCGUAAAGCUCUGUUCUAUGGGAAGAAAAGGACUGUACCAUAGGAGAAAGCCCCGGCUAAAUACGUG
rnacentral:rRNA from 1 species